rnacentral:misc_RNA from 1 species
AUGCGAUACUCAAGUCUGCAGACUCCAGUAUAUAAUCAAGAAUACGACCUAUCGUUUUAUUAACACGAGAUAUUGUAGUAGUUUUCCUAAUCUAAGUAAUAUUAUUCAAAAUCUACUGGAGGAACGGCCUGUCGUUAGGAAUGGGACGUUAAAAUAAAAUCGACGUAUUGGAAUAUAUCUCCUUACCGUUUAAAAAAAUAAAUUUUGACUCCAACGUGGCACAGUCUGAUUGGUGAGACGACUGGAAAUGGGAACUACAAUGAUUAGUACAACGCUACCAUCAUCAUCGCUGCAGUUAGCGCAGAUCUCGCCCGCUUUUGAUUGAUCUUUAGGUAGGUAAGUUGGUUACAAGUAGAACAAGGCCCUAGGGAGCGUGAGGGGCCUUGGGUUCACUUGAGCUGUUCCUUUCGCCUCGAAAUAUGCUUUCUGUUCUUUGAUUUUCUCAUAAAUUUACUUGUAAUGGCCACUUUGUUGAUUGAACAGACAUGGGUGAUGGGUUCUGGGCUGUUGUUGGUUGGAAGGGUGCUUGUUAUUCUCCAAUUGGUUACUGGAAUUCUGGGCUGGGGAAAGGAAGGCCACUAUGCUGUUCGCGAGAUAGCAGAGGGGGGAUUUUUUUAAGUUUAAUAGUUAUUAAUUUAGUCAGUUCGCGAUGAUCAAGAUUUUGCUUUUCUUGAGAAUCACUUUAAAUGGAUUGCUAUUUGCUAUCUUGAUGGGUUUUACUUAGUGGUGGUGGUUAGUAUUUGAAGAUUUUUUUCAUCAUUUUGAAGUUGCCAGAUUCAGGAUUUAAUUAAGGAAUGAGUGGUAACCUUUUAAUCCUUCAGGGCUAUUUAAGUGAAGAUGCUGUAGCUGCAGUCAAUGAAUUGCUUCCUGAUUCUGCUGAAGGUGACCUUGCAGCUGUUUGCUUUUGGCCUGAUGAGGUCCGAUUCCACUAUCGCUGGAGUAGUGCUUUACGCUAUAUUGAUACAGCCAAUUUCAAGUGUAAUUAUCAAUAUUGUAGCAAGUAUGCCUUGCUGCUGAUGUUCCUUUGUUCAGCUAUAAACAUAAUUAGAAUAGCUUUUUCCUUCAUGGGCUUCACUUUUACAGAGAGAUACAUAUGUUAGUUUGUUUAAUAAUUGUCUCCUGAUUUCUGAUAGGGGAUUGUCAUGACUCUGCUGGACAUAAAGACAGAUGUGUAACUGGAGCAAUUUUCAACUACACAAAACAACUUACAUCAGCAUAUGUUCGAAGUUGACACGUAAAAGUGCUAUAACAUAAUAUGUUUCCUUUAACUUUGUGUAAUUUGGAACUCUCCAAUGUUGAUUGCAGACAAUUUAAUAGAGGCGCUUAUCUUUUUAGCCCAUUUUAUUGGGGAUGUUCAUCAGCCCCUGCAUGUUGGUUUCACUGGCGAUUUGGGUGGAAAUACAAUAACAGUCCGUUGGUAUCGUAGGAAGACAAAUCUACACCAUGUAUGGGAUAACAUAAUUAUUGAUUCAGCCCUGAAGACAUUCUAUGGUUCAGAUCUUGCAAACAUGAUACAAGCCAUUCAGAAUAAUAUGACGGAAGGUUGGUCCAAUCAACUAUCAUUAUGGGAAUGUUGUCAAAAAAACCAGAGAGUUUGUUUGAAUCUGUAAGUUCAUUCCUUUCUUAUUCUACUCUGUGUCUAAAUGCAUGUGUCUGAUAUAUUUGUUCUAAGAUAUUGAAAAUGGUGGUAAUUGGUAAACUAGGUACAGCAUUAAUUCUCAUAUGCUUAAAUUUGGUUAUAGUCAUAUAUUUGUUUGAUUGAAUUCCUGAUACCAAUUGGUCAAAUGGUCAGGACAUAGAGAAAUGUAUCAGUAAAAAAGAAUCGGGAGUCGAGUGUGGAGAAGUAGAGUAUGUGUGUGUGUGUGUUUUUACUAACUUGCAAACAUGAGAGUGUGUAAUUGAUCAAUUCAUUUUUUGAUAAAGAAUAGUUGAAUCAAAGCUUUUUCUUUUAUUGAAACUGCCUUUGCACAUAUAGAGAGAUAGAGAGAGAUGCCCACACGGAGUAAUGCUUGUUUGUUUGAUAUCCAGUUUUCUCAUUUCAUGUAAGAAAGAAAUUUAAUUUCAUGUAUAGACAAGGACUAGGAAGUAAGUAAACAUGAUUUUUCUUUUCCUCCUCCACUUCGUGGGGGUAUGCUUCUGAAAGCAUUAGCUUGGCAUGCAAGUUUGCAUACGAGAAUGCCACACCUGGAAGCACUUUGGGAGAUGAUUACUUCCUUUCUCGGUUGCCUAUUGUGGAAAAAAGGCUUGCACAAGGCAGCAUCCGCUUAGCUGCCACCCUCAACCGCAUUUUUGCUUCUCAAGGCAAGAUUGCUUAUGCAUGAGGAUAUUUCCCAUUUGCCAAUUCUCUCAUGCAUUCUGUAAUAAGUAUACUUUAUAGCUAAAUGUUGACAUCAUCCCAUAAUGUUGCUACGAUGCCUUUAUAUUCUAGAAUAUGCCCUCGUUGCUUGGAAAAUUGUCAACGUUAAGGGCACUCAAAAGUGGAAUUGAAUUCGUGUACUCAAUGAGAACCUGUUCCUUGUUGCAUAUAUAUAUCUGAAGCCUCAUGGAAGUUGUAUGUAUAACUAACUCAUUUCUUGGGAGUUCGUUUCGUUUGUGUCGAUUGUUGCUUCUGUUUUUAUUUUUCUUGGGAGAUGCCGGGGAAAAGAAAAUUGGAACUGAUAAACAAAGAACUGAGUAUGGAUGGGACCAGUGACCUUUUGAGAUGGUCUUCCUUUGCAUUUGUAACGUUCGUGGGUUUGGCCACCACCAAUUUGGUGCCUGGAGCAAGGAGGGUCACAUAAUGACAUGUCGGAUUGCACAGGUAUUAUGAUAUCCAUAUCUCUUGGUACCUGAUUGUCUCGUAGUGAAGGAAGUUAGGAUUCAAAUCCUAGUAGUUUUUAUCCUCUUAAAGAAUUUAUGAAAGUACCAAAAAAAAAAAAAAAAUCUCUAGGCAGUAGGGCAAUUGCCAAAGAUGGAUGUAUGAGAUAGUGUGAAAUUUUGACGUCAUUUAACAUCAACAUUGAGAGUUUAUGGGAUGGGUGAAGAAGCUUAAUUACUUUGUGUUGGGAAUAUACAAGUGUGGAAUUCUAACAUCUGAAAAAGAUAGAGAUGAGUGAAGGAUAUAUAAGUGGAGAGACCCAUAAACUUAUUGUCUUAAGGUUUUGGUUUAAAUGUGAUGUCAAACUCAUAACUGUAUUCUUUUAUACUGCCCAUCUAGAAAGAAUUCUCCCCAGGCUUUGGGCUCUCCAGAUUUCUAAUACUUUGCUUUUAAGGAAUGAUUGUCCAUUAUAAUAAUCAACCUUCGUCCAGUGGUUCACAAAGAAAUUAUCAAAAACAAACACUUAUUGCUUCGUAAUUAAUAGAACCUUUUAGGACCUGAGGCAGCACAUGCUGUAGAACAUUAGUUACCUAACAAUUUGGACGGGGACUGCUCGGCUCUCUGAGUAUGGCCUGACCAAAUGCGGCACUGGUACAAAUAUAGGUGGACAAGCUCUCUUGACUUCAUUGACACCCCAUACAAAGCCUGCACAUUUGAUUAUUCAAGUAAGCCCUGAGCCUAAUGUUAAGUGUUGAUCAUUGUUAUUUUCUUUAAUUGGGAUUUGUUAAUGAAUUUUGUUAGGGGACUGUGUGAAGGAUUUGUGUGUUGCUGGUGCCAUUCAGAAUUUUACAUCUCAGCUUUUGCACUACAGGGAGGGAAGGAACUACAGAUCGCAGAUAUAAUUUGACUGAAGCCUUGCUAUUCUUGUCUCACUUCAUGGGGGAGAUUCAUCAGCCAAUGCAUGUUGGAUUCACCAGCGAUGAAGGAGGCAAAACCACUGAUUUGCGCUGGUUUAGGCAUAAAUCUAUUCUUCAUCAUGUAAGUAAAUAAUAUAUAUUACAUACUAUCCUUGACCGUGAAAUCUCUAUCUGAAAUUGUUGAAACCGAAAAUAUCCCAUGCCUUGGCUUCAUGUAAUGACUACAGGUAUGGGAUAGAGAGAUUAUCUUUCCAAGCGCUGUCAUGUAAAUAAGGCAUGUUGAUGUGUGCCAUUGUUGUUAUAUGUUAACACAGGGAAUAUGGUAUGAUGAUGUCUCAU